rnacentral:rRNA from 1 species
UACGGAGGGUGCGAGCGUUGUCCGGAAUUAUUGGGCGUAAAGAGCUCGUAGGCGGUUUGUCACGUCUGCUGUGAAAACUGGAGGCUCAACCUCCAGCUUGCAGUGGGUACGGGCAGACUAGAGUGCGGUAGGGGAGAUUGGAAUUCCUGGUGUAGCGGUGGAAUGCGCAGAUAUCAGGAGGAACACCGAUGGCGAAGGCAGAUCUCUGGGCCGUAACUGACGCUGAGGAGCGAAAGCGUGGGGAGCGAACAGG